rnacentral:rRNA from 1 species
AUGAUAUCUGUUAUUUGCUGGCAAGAACUGGCAUGGACCGGCUGGUGUACUCCUGGAUGGCAAUGUCGCCUGGUGGCAACAAGCUGUACUCCUGGACGGGGGUGCCGCCCAACGGCAGUGGGGUGCGCAACGUACACUAAAAGGAAAAGUGGGAGAGUGGAAAAUAACGAAAUGGGAGUAUCCAAAGAAGAUGAGUGGUGGAGUAAAUGA